rnacentral:rRNA from 1 species
CACGUAGGGCGCAAGCGUUGUCCGGAAUUAUUGGGCGUAAAGAGCUCGUAGGCGGUCUGUUGCGUCCGCUGUGAAAACUCGGGGCUUAACCCCGAGCCUGCAGUGGAUACGGGCAGACUAGAGGUAGGUAGGGGAGAAUGGAAUUCCCGGUGUAGCGGUGAAAUGCGCAGAUAUCGGGAGGAACACCGGUGGCGAAGGCGGUUCUCUGGGCCUUACCUGACGCUGAGGCAGCGAAAGCGUGGGGAGCGAACAGG